ensembl:lncRNA
UGCAGUUUGCUUUGCCCGUUUGCACCAUCGAGAUCUGGCAACGCCGCGGGGAGACGGUGUCGUCAGGCGCGGCUUCUUGGUGAGGAGUUAUGUAGAUUCUAACUCUCCAUCCUCGCAAUUCACGCCACAAAACUAUGUCUAACAAACAACAGCACACGUUAAAAAUGGCAUUUUAAAGCUCGGUACCCCCCGAAGCUAAUGAAUGUUGUCUAAAUCAUUGGUUUUCAGCCAGGUCUGAAGCCCGUUCAAAAUGGAUGGACAAAAUGUUCUGGCAAAUCUGAACACGCUUUUGGUUCAGUUAGCACUGCAGACGCGGGAGUUGUCUCAGAAGAAGGAGGAGCAGGAAGAACAGAUACAGAUUUUCCAAGCGAGAGUCCACGAGAAGAAGGCCUACAUAGAAGAGACGCGGAAGGCCAUUGACAAACUCGAGGGGGACAUCGUGCAUUUGCAAAACACUGCACAGCGAUGCAAGGAGAGCGGCCGGAGUCUGAAGCGCGCCUACGGCCUGCUGCUCCAGUACGAGAAGAGCCUGGAAGCGGAGCUGGGGGAGAGGCGAGAAAGCUGCAGUCGUGACGUGAGAGUCCACCAGGAACGCACCGAAGACUACAGGGAGGUCCUCCAGAAGCACAGAGAGCAGUACUGCCGGCAUCCGCUGGCAGAGAGGCUCGUCGCGGUGCAGGCGGAGAACGAGCAGACCGAGCAGAGAAUUCGGGCCUGCGAGGACCAGAUCGCGGCGGCGGCGCGACAGCUACAGGAGCCACGGGAAGCCGCGGGGAGUUCAGCCGCUGCAGAUCGUGCAUCAGACGCGUGCAGUACGAUGCAUCUGGACUCGGAACGACCACUGGGACCAGCAAAAGCAGAGAUGGAGAUUCAGAAGAUUCAGAAGAUUCAGACGGACAUUCAGAAGCCUUCGCCUGAGAGCUCAGAUCUCCGCAAUGAUCAUACCGGCACUGUGGACGAGGACGUGCUAGUGGAGAGUCGAGGAAAUGCUGACCUCAGGAAUACAGAGGAAACGGUGGAAUUAGGCUCACAACAAGUGGGAGAAAGCCAGCAGGAUGUCGGGGUGGUCGUGCCGAGUGACGCAGAGCAGAUGCCACGCCCCUCUGAAGAGGAGCAAAGUUCAGAGGGAGAUGUUUGCUUCUACACACCGCCGGCUCGAAUGAAGGCCGCGGCGGACACCCCAACGUUCUCAGCGAAUGCCACACCCAAUUGCUCUCCUGGACGAUGUGAGGGUACCGAGAAGUCCCCAGCUUUUGUGUUCUCCUUGAGUUCCAGUUCCACAACUCCUGGAUUCUCAAGGUUUGACUGUGGGUUUGAUGUGGGAUCACCAACAGGAGAGGAGGACACUCCUUUCAGUUUCACAAGUUCAUACUUCAGUGAGAAGAAACCACCUGAAUCAAAGUUCUCAGGCUUUCCAUUUGAUAAUGUGGAGAGCAGAUCUGAAGACGAGUUUCAGUUUUCCUUCACACCCAAGAGCCCUUUGAAGUCUCCCACUAAUGAAGAGAAGGGAGGAUCUGGUGACGCCUUCCCCUUUUCUUUCAACUUUGGAAAAUUCUAGUCAUCUACAGCAGUUCAAGGUUGUUCGUCGUUUGAUUUAUGCAAAAAAAAAAUGUGAGCAGUAACCAGUCAACAGUUCAGUCUUAUUUAUUGUGUACAAUUUCACCAGCACGACAGAUUCAACACCCCCAUUAUUGUUAUCAUUAUAAUACGUUUGUUUCACAUUGAGGUUAGACCGAUGCUAUAAAAGUAUUGAUUUGUUUAGCUAAAAACUUGAAUAAAAGAAUCUCACAUUGCACUCGUGCACACAAUGUGUGAUUUUUUUUUCUAUAUGACAAUUACAUACUACAAUUAUAAAUACAGUAGGUUUAGUUAUUACAAAAGGUAAAUACAAAAUGAGAAAUAUCUGUUCAAAAAUUUAAGAUCAAGGGUGCAUCACAGUUUAAAUUUUAAUGUUCAGAAAAGUUCUAAAUUGGAAGCAAAAUAAUUCUGUCGGCAAUCAUGUAGGUAGCACAUGGUUCAAUUAUCAUGCUGUGAUUGGUAAGGAAAGUCAAAUAAAGCGUAGCGAUAUAAAAAAUGCCUCUCGUCCAAUCACGGCGAGCCAACGCGAGCUCACAGCUUCUAACGGACCGCAUUUACACAAUUGACGCGCUGCACAAAUGACUAAUAAGAUCAACCGUGCUGGUUAUAAACUGUUCACCUCAGAAGCCAGUAUCGACGCUCAGAGAGCGCCGGGUGACGUGCGCCACGUCUCCACUGACGUACUCGUCGAAGCUGGUCUGGUAUUUGGCCAACAUCUUCAGCGUCAGUCGCAGAUUCAGCCACCACUGUUCUUUGGCCAUUCUGUGCCUGUAAGGGCGUAUAACUCCGUCACACCGGCUUCGGGAGAACCGGACACGCGUCUCGCUUGCUUGUGUAACUCACUCAAAGUCCGUUUCUGCCUUGAGCUCGGCCACGGGGGUGAAGGACAGCGCCUUCUUGUUGAGCCCAACCACGCACACGGUCUCGGGGCCUUCGGCGAACACCCGCUCUGGCAGGGGUGGAAGACAAAAAAAAUUCAAGCCUGUUGGUCAUGCGUUACGCUCUCACCGCGGCGUGCGUAUUUUUCCGUUUUUUUUUACCCUGUCUGACAUUUUCGAUCAUUUUCUGCGUGAGCCACUCGACAGAUCUCACUCCCAGCUUGGUUCCAAAGUUCCUGUCAAAUGGUGAAGGUGCUCCACCCUGUUAAGAGCCAAAGGUGUCACGGAAUGUAAUUGUACAUUAAUUACAACACCAACCAAAAAACUGUCCAGAAAGCUGAGGGCGUCCUCCGAACAGUACGUGAAUGCAUAAACGCUGCAUCAUUUAAACAUCUCCAAACGAUCAGGACAUUAUUUUGUUGGUUAUUAAAAAUAUCCAUUUAUUUUAGAUGUGUUAUUAGAUACAUAAUAGCUGCGGUUUCAAAUGUCUUGAUCUUCUUUUAUAAUGCAGUCUGAAACAAUAGCUUUUGGGGACCACAAGGAAGUGAUAAUACAAAAUGUACGAAUUAGAUUUUGAAGAAUAAGCACUUGGCGAGACUGAUCUCCUUGCCAGCAUUUCCCUCGCACCUGCUGAAGGUGUCCGAGCACGUUCAUCCUGCAGUCGAAGAUGCCCUUCCCCUCGGCCGAGUACAGCUUGUGGAUGAAUUCCGUGGUGUACUGCUCGUGGCACUUCUCAUUCCUCCAAACAAUCACAACAACGUCAGCGCAAGUCCUGUGUUUGUUUUGCUUGCGAAAAAGUGGGGAUUCGCAGUAGACCCGACAAAUACGGCUUUUUUAAAAGUCCGGGAAAGGAAACGUGCGGGUUUAAAACUUAAUCGAGUCUGGCGUCCGUUUCACCUCCUCGGCAUCCAUUUUCGCAACUCUUAUUAUCAAAACCCAUCACCCAAAUUAACAUUUCACUAAAACAUUUAAUAAGACAAAUGACCAAAGCCUUGACCUUUUGUUUACCUCGCGAGCUCGACUUGACCCCGAGCCCGACUAAAAUGCUAAGAUUCACAGUUCUAUUGCGCAGUGCUCUUGUAGAUUGAAUUUUUUUUUAUAGCGUGAUCACAUUAAACCUGAUAUAACUCCGGGGACAGGAGACGGUUAAAUGCAGAGACCACAGUUCACCGUGUGCACGGGGUGCUGGGCUGUGAUUAAUCACUUUCACUCUACCUCAUAACCAGACCUCUCUGGAUGUCCUUCUUCAUCUUCUCCGAGAGGUGCUCAACGUUCGUCUGUCAAAGGAGAAGGAGACAAGUGAUGAGUGUCCCGCUGCAGCAAAUGGACCAUAAGCAUGACGUUUUGUGGGUUUCUGCUGUUGCACCUGAAGGUCAUGUAUGUUGAAGGGAUCUUCAAAGAUGUAGGCAGCGUCAGCGCCAACCGCAAUGCCCGUGGUGGUGGCCAGGUAGCCACAGUAGCCACCCAUAGUCUCCACCACAAACACCCGUCUCUUGGUCCCCGUCGCCGACUGCUUGAUCUUGUCGCAGCUCUGAAGGUCAUAAAAGCGGUGACAUUUCCGGUGACUUCAAAUGACCUUUGACUCUUCAGGCUGGGAUUGCUCCCUUACUCACAGACAUGGCGGCAUUGACAGCAGUAUCGGAGCCCAAGCUGAAUUCCGUUCCUGGGACGUUGUUGCUGAUGGUGGCGGGAAUGACACACAUGGGGAUGCAGAGCUCAGUGUAGCGGCUGCGAGCCUCGACCAACUCCAGGAUCCCCUCAAAAGCCUGCGGGAGGACCAAAGGACCAGCAGCAGUGGUGACUUCAUGACUACCUUCUAAAUCGUCAAAAGCAGGGCUCUCCAACUUUGGCCCCGGUGGGCAAUAUUCUAGAUUUUCAAAUUUGAAAACGCAACCAGCCCAAUAUGAACCGUGCACGCACGAAGUUGCACUGCUGGUCAGACAGUAAGGAAUUAACCAUUUACAUUUACGUUUAUGGCAUUUACCAGACGCCCUUAUCCAGAGCGACUUACAAUCAGUAGUUACAGGGACAGUCCCCCCCUGAAGCAACUUAAGGUUAAGUGUCCUGCUCAAGGACACAAUGGUAGUAAGUGGGAUUUGAACCUGGGUCUUCCAGUUCAUAGGCGAGUGUGUUACCCGCUAGGCUACUACUACUCUACAGUACUGACAAAGCUCUAUCUGAACAUGUUGAGGGUGGAGCCAAGCCAAGUUGAGAGGAUCACGGCAUUAGAUCUUUCACAACAACUGACUCUCCUCAAGAACUGGAUGGUGAGAAGGCUGUAGAGAAGAUGAGUCGGUCUAAUGAUCCCUUCGUUGUAGAUCAAUUUGAUGUCCUCACCUCAAAUCCGCCAACAACCAGCAAAGACUGGAUGCUGAACUUCUUGAUGUUUCCUACAAUCUCGUCCAUGCAUGUGCUGGGGAGAGUUCUGUUGCAGAGAAAAUUCACGACUCAGCAGACAUUCUGUAUAUUCUAGAUUCUGGCCAGAUGCUUAAUGUUUUUAUGCUUUACCUUUUUGUUCCUAGAAGUGAUCCACCUUGGCCAGUCCAGCCAGCUACAAAGUUCCACUUUGCUUCCGUGACCUUUUUAUAUAAAGUUUAAUAAAGAUUCAUUUUGUUUUUAAUGUUUCGUGUUAUUGAAAUAACAGCGCCCCUAGUGGUCACGCUGACAAUUAACCAUCCUGAAUGGAGGACGUGGGCUAUUGUACCUCGCCAUUGGCAAGUCCCUCAAAGCCAUUGAUGACAGUGUAGACCUUGUGUCCCUCAGCGAGGGCCACCCUCACUGCAGCGCGCACUGCGGCAUUCAUGCCUGCAGCCGGAGCGCCGACGUUCAGGAUUGCCAUGGAAAACUGGCUCUGUCGGACAGCAGAAAUGAUGCAUGCUGGGAAAUAUGUUUUCUACCAAAACUGUCCUCGUUCUCAAGAGCUCAGUAUCAAACGGUAAACUGUUUUAUUCAACGUUUACCGCAGACUGCGCAGCUUUCUGGUGAGCAAGAAGUUUGUAGAUGUUCCAGUUGUUCUCGAAGCUCCUGAAACGAAGCCAUGAGGGAAAAGUUGGGUGUUAAUUGUUACAAUUGAUUAGAAAUAUUUAAGACGUUAAAAUAAAUGAAACGUUUUGAUCACUGGAUGCUCACAUGUAUGCGCUGCAUCAACAGGACAGUCAACCAGUGGUUGUUUCUCACUUGCGACCACAUAUCUGGCUUAAACCGCAGUAAACCCAACUGACUGGUCAAUGCAUUCACCAACAUUGUCUAAAUAGAUUUAAUUUCCUAUUGCUUGAUCUGUGCUUUUUUUCUAACAGAUUUGCCCUGAGCCUCUUUCCCACAUUCUCUGUAAUAGUCUUCAAUAUUUUAGCAAGCUUUAGUCCUAAUAAUUAAUCGUUAUUAAUUCAUAAUUAACUCAAAUGAAUCGCAACUAAUGCUUUGCAAAAAUUGACAGCCCUCGUAAAGACACGAACACUUACUUCCCUCGCAGCUGAAUGGCUUCUUCAAAUCUCUUCUCGUUCAUGGCCUUCUGGACCUCUUUAGUCUACAGAUGAGACUGCAUUAUAGCACUAUCCUGACAGUCCUAAUGCCUUUUAGCCAUUUUACAUUUAUCGCAUUUGUCAGACGCCCUUAUCCAGUAAGACUUACAUUCUGUAGUUACAGGGACAGUCCCCCCCCUGGAGACACUUAAAUUAAGAGGCGAAUGUGUCGUCUUCAAAAGAAGACCAUGAACGUACCAUCUGCACACACUCCAUCAGGGGCAGCCGCACAGCCCGGUUGCCUGAAAGGCCGACGGCACAAGCAGGGGUGUCCGGCGUUGCCUCCAGAAGCGCCACCACCGCCUCGAUGCCCAGCUGACUGCUCUGCGGGAAGUACAGGAGGUCAGACACAUGUGACGUGACAUCAUUUCCAGUGCACGUCCACUCCGUGGACUAAAUUAUAGAUUGUCUAUGUCCAAAUG